AGCGAACGCUGGCGGCAUGCCUAACACAUGCAAGUCGAACGAGACCUUCGGGUCUAGUGGCGCACGUGUGCGUAACGCGUGGGAACCUGCCCUUAGGUUCGGAAUAACUCCCCGAAAGGGGUGCUAAUACCGGAUAAUGUCUUCGGACCAAAGAUUUAUCGCCUUUGGAUGGGCCCGCGUUGGAUUAGCUAGUUGGUAGGGUAAAAGCCUACCAAGGCGACGAUCCAUAGCUGGUCUGAGAGGAUGAUCAGCCACACUGGGACUGAGACACGGCCCAGACUCCUACGGGAGGCAGAAGUGGGGAAUAUUGGACAAUGGGCGAAAGCCUGAUCCAGCAAUGCCGCGUGAGUGAUGAAGGCCUUAGGGUUGUAAAGCUCUUUUACCCGGGAUGAUAAUGACAGUACCGGGAGAAUAAGCUCCGGCUAACUACGUG
rnacentral:rRNA from 1 species